GUGCUCCCUUCAGCAGCACAUACACUAAAAUUGGUACAAUACAGAAAAGAUUAAUAUGGCUCCUGCGUAAAGAUGACAUGAAAAUUUGUGAAGCCUUCUGUAUAUAU